rnacentral:tRNA from 1 species
UCUUUGGUGGCUCAGAUGGUAAAGCAUCUGCCUGCAAUGCAGGAGACCUGGGUUUGAUCACUGGCAAGGGAG